rnacentral:lncRNA from 1 species
GUGCUAAGCUUAGUGCUCUCUCUCCCACCACCAGUGGCAGAGCCACUGUGUGGGGAGAAACACCUUUUUAUCUUGGAGAGGGGCAGCCUUGUUUCUGAGGACAGAUGGGAGCAAAACGGGACAGGUAGGAAGUUUCGUGGUUUCUCGUGUCGCUUCUCCAAAAUAGCCACACUGCUGCCUCCCACUUCCUGCCUGACUCGGCUGGGGUAGAUUUUCUCCUUUAGAGGAUUUGUGUUCUGUGUAUUCCCAGGGAGGCUCGAAGGGAUCUGUUGCCAAAAACAUGCUUGACACUGAAGCCCUGGAGCUUGGCACUGAGGGCCCCAGCUCAGGUUUGGACCACUGGGUUUGCAUCCGGGCUCUGUCUCAUACUGGCUGCGUGACCUUGGGCAAAUGACUUCACUUCUCUGUGCCUCAUCAGUAGGAUGGAGAUAACAACUCUAGCUAUAUCCAGCAGUUACUCUGCAGAUUAAAUGAAUAUGUGUAAAGGGCACAGCCCAGUGUGGGCACAUAGCAACUCUUAAUGAAUCUCUUAAUAAAAAACAGCAAUGUUGUUGUUGAUCUCCAUCCCCUACCUGGAAAACUGUACCAGCCUCCCAGCCACCUUCCCUUUCCCCUGGCUUGCCUGCUCCAGCACAUCCCAGCAUGAUCCGAGAGUGAUAGAAACGUGAAACACAAAUCUGACCCUGCUAUCUGCUGCUUAAAAUCCACCCAUAGCUUCCAGCGUCUAUGGCAGGAAUGAGCAUUCUUUUGCUCUGAAUGGCCAGAUAGUAUUUGAAGCUUUGCCGGGCAUAUAGUCUCUCUUGACUUUGUCAUUGCAGCCUGGAAGCAACCACAGAUAAUAUGUAAAAAAUGGGCGUGGUUGUGUUCCAGUAAAAUUUUAUGUACGAAAACAGGCAGCCGGCUGGAUUUGCCAACCCUUGACCUACAGGAUGAAUCCAGACCCUUAGCUCAGCAUUCCCAGUUCAGCCUGUUCCCGUUAUCUCCAUCCUUCUUCCUCCCCCACCCCUGCUCUUGUGCAGAACAUGUCACACUUUAAUCCUUUGCGUGUGCUGCUCCCUCUUUCUGAGUUUUCCUUCCCUGCCCCCUGAGUGCCCCUUCCCCAUGGCAUUAGGACCUUUACUCUGGGAUUCUGUGGUACCCUGUCUUUAUUUCUACCCUGGUCAUAUAUGCAAGUUCCAUCUGUCUCUCCAUGAGAGGGGCUCCCCUCUAGGCAGGGAUUCGGCCUUCCUCUUCUGUACACCCAGCAGGGUGCUGCUGUAUAGGUUUCUGCAGGUGCUCAGUAAGCAUUUGUUAUUGAACCCAAGGAUCUGCAAGAUGGAUGGUUGGCCUCAGGGAGCUCACAGUCAGCUUAGAAAGCUAGGAUAUGAGCCAGUCAAAAGCCAGCCAGCAAUCCAGGCAGGAAAUGAUGAUGGUCUGUGUGUUUGGCCCUAACUGAUGUCAAGUGGAGAUUCUGAGCUUGAUAGAGGAAGGGCCUCGGGUGGUCCUCGAGGUGCCGCAGGUGGAAGAAGAACAGGCCAAGGCAAAUGCCUCCGGUACCCAGCACUGCCUGGUGCACAGUAGUGGUUGAUCAGUAAUUGUUGAACCAAUCAGGGUUUCUGUUUGCUUGAAGGAAAGGGUAGGAGUGGAGGGUGAGUGACUGGGUGAAUGGGUGCUAUGAGGACAAAGGAGAGUGGAGUUUAGAGGUAGCACUAGUGUCGCAAGCCUGAAGGUUUACCAGAGACAGAGGGGUGAAAAGAUGAGUGGGGCACUAAGCAUAUUGAAUGUGAGAGCUGCUGGAAAUGCAGGAUUGGGGCGUGCUGGGUGGGGCAGGUGAUGUGUGCAGCUGUGGAAGCUGCUACCAAGUCAAGCAUUUUCAGAUGGACAUGCUUAGGCAGGAAGGAACAAGGCUUGGCUCCUGGCCUGGGGAGAGUUAACCUCCUGGCCCGGCAUUGCAUAACCGCAGAGUCUGCUGAGCGCAAGGAGACUCUUCUGUGUGGCAGCCAGAGUGGCAAGCCUGGUGGCUCCGGGCUCUGGCACCAUCCCGCAGCGGAACAAACAGCCCUCCCUUCCCAGAUAAUGGCCCUCAUUGAGCAUUGUGUCCAUGGCCAGCACCCAGCACAGGGCAGCUCAGCCUGGGUCCCUUGGAGCUUCCUUGGGCGCUUCCUGGAAGGAGGUGCUGCAUUCACCCUGCCAGGGCCAGGUUGGGACAAUGAGAGGCAGAGACUGCCCCAUUUCUGUGUGGCAAACAAGAAACAUGGUUUAUCGGUUCUUCUGAGGCUUCAGUUGUACCUCAGACCCUAAAGGGCCCAGCUCUGCCCAUCUCUUCCAUGCAAAGAUGAAGGGAGGGGACAGGGGCUGGCACUGUGGUACCCUGAAGGAGGCACUUAGGACGGUGAUGAUUCUAGGCCCUGAUGAAUUCAUUUUUUAAGCCAGCAAACCCUCCUGGUCCCCUGAGUUCAGGAUACCGUAUUUGUCCAAGCAAAGGAUAGCUCAGGAAUACAGAAAUGAGUCUGAUCCUAGGCAGGACUCAGGGAACACCAUGAAUCCUUGAGAACCAUGGGACGGAGAAUCAGAGUCCUGAGCUGUGGAUCCAGCCCAGCCACUUUCCACCUCUCUGAACCUCUGUUUCCUCAUCUGCAAAACGAAGUGAUAAGCCCCUUCCCAGAGGGCUGUUUUGAGGAAAUUCUUAGUUAUGAAGUAUGUUAGACAUUGUGUUUGCAGUCUUAGGGGGCAGUUGGAGCCAUGAACAGGAGGUCUGCAAGGAGGAACUUGGGUGAAAUUAAAUGAGACAGUGGCUACAGGGGCCUUUGGUGAGCUGUAGUCACUGCACUAACGUAAGGCGGCAUUGUUGGGAUUAUGAUCCAUCUGAAACAGGGGUGUAAACACCGGCCAGGGGAAGGCAGAAUGGGUUCUGUCUGAGAUGGAAAGAGGUCCCAGGGAGAAACUGGCAGUGGUGACAAGAAGGAUUUGGCUGAACAAAGAAGGGAAGAUGGGGGACCGGGCAGCAGGCCAAGGGAGGGGCUUGAACCCUGGCAGGAG